UACGAAGGGGGCUAGCGUUACUCGGAUUGACUGGGCGUAAAGGGCGCGUAGGCGGCUUGUACAGUCAGACGUGAAAUUCCUGGGCUCAACCUGGGGGCUGCGUUUGAUACGUGCGGGCUUGAGUUCGGAAGAGGGUCGUGGAAUUCCCAGUGUAGAGGUGAAAUUCGUAGAUAUUGGGAAGAACACCGGUGGCGAAGGCGGCGAUCUGGGAAGAUACUGACGCUGAGGUGCGAAAGCGUGGGGAGCAAACAGG
rnacentral:rRNA from 1 species